GUUUCAGUUUAAUUAAAAUGAAUACUUGUUCAAUUUGUCAACUUACCUCAUUUACAAGUUUAUCCUGUGCUUUAUGUACAAAAAUUGUUGGCACCAAAUGUCAAGGUAGUAGAACCAAUGAAUACAAUGUGUGAAUACAAUGCUGUGUAUAAAACUUGUACAGGUCCAGCUAUAAACCCCUGGUAAACCUUAUAAUUUUGCCAGAACCAGUUUCACACACAACAUUUACAAAGCUAGUGGUUCUAUAAAAACUUAAGGAAAGAAUAAAUUUUAGAGUUGUCAUCGGCUAAAAAGAUAACGUUUAAUACAAAAGUCGCAUUCAUAUCUAAAAACAGGUAACGUGACACCAGGUUUUUAAACAGGUGAGUUUUAUCGCAUUUAUUUCAAUUUUAUUUUAUUAAUGAUUGUUUUAUUUAACUAAUUUUUGUUUCGUAAAUACCUAAUAUUUACCAUUCAAAUUUAAAUAUUUUUUGUAAAUAAAACUAAAUCAUCGGAUUUAGUUGAUGAACCUAUUGAACCUCGGAUUUAGUUGAUGAACCUAUUGUCUACUGUUGAAACAUGAUUUGAUUCAGUAAAUUUUUAUUAUUUGAAUUUUACUGUAUUAAUCAUUAGUCAACAGUUAGCGAGAAACUGGUGUUCUACGUAAUUGAGGUAAAAUUAAUUUUGUUCACUGGUAACAUUCCAAAACAGUUUUUGUGGUUUAUUGUUUUAUAUCUAUAUUGUGCUACUAUAUUGUUUUAAUGAUAGAUUAAUUGAUGAACAUUUCAAUCGUCACCAAAAAUUGAAUUUUCCUGUUUGUUGCAGGCUUGUUUUCCUUUAAUUAGGAGUAUGGUAGACUUAAAGAAGCAGUUCAUAUCUAAACGACACAAAUUGUCAAAAGCAAGAGAAAUAAAGAAAAAAAGAGUUUUAU